rnacentral:rRNA from 1 species
UACGUAGGGUGCGAGCGUUAAUCGGAAUUACUGGGCGUAAAGCGUGCGCAGGCGGUUGAGUAAGUCUGGUGUGAAAUCCCUGGGCUUAACCUAGGAAUUGCAUUGGAUACUGCUUGACUAGAGUAUGUCAGAGAGAGAUGGAAUUCCACGUGUAGCAGUGAAAUGCGUAGAGAUGUGGAGGAACACCGAUGGCGAAAGCAGUCUCUUGGGAUAAUACUGACGCUCAUGCACGAAAGCGUGGGGAGCAAACAGG